rnacentral:lncRNA from 1 species
CUCUCCAUCCAGUAAUCAUAUUAAAAAGGGAGGAAAUAAAAAUCAACAUCCAUAUUAUAUAAAUAUUGGCUUGCUUUCUCUCCCAGAUCCUUCUUAGAAAAGAUAAAAGAUAAUCACUGAUCUAAGGCAGAGGAUUUCAGACAUUUGUUUAUUCAUCUAAUAAACAUUUAUUAAGCUGUUACUCUGAGCCAGACACUGUGCUAAGGUUGGUGAUGCAGCUGUGAACAAGUCGGAUGUUUUCCCUGCCCUCCCUAGAAAUGUCUGUUAUUGCCAGGCUCUCAAAGAGGCCUGUGGGUGGGGUGAGAGAGGAAAGCAGCUGCUGGGUAAGUGGUGGACAGAACAGAGCUGGGAAAUAGGGUGUGUAAAAAGUGGAAGCUUUUUAAGUUACUGAGAUUCUAAAAUCAAAUACAGCCAUCAAGGUCCAGACAGAUUGGGAAACUUUGAACUAUGUAACAAAUAAACCCUAAGAAACUGAAAUUUGGAGCAGCUCACUUUCUAAAACAUUUAGUAUUAAUAGACUUCAUGCCCAUAAUUCAAGUGCAUACUAAGGGUAGAUUUCACACAUUCUAGUUAAUUGCUCUAAAAAUGGCACUGUCAUCUAAAAUAAAUGUCUUUGAACUUAGAACUGCCAUAUAAGAAUUUUGAUUCUUUAGCCACGGGGGUGGGGGGUGGGGGGGCAUAGCAGAACAAUGAGUCAAUUUUUUACUACAUUGCCUAAGACUCAUGUUCUUUAGUGAGUUUUCAGAGAAUUGCUUGUGUAACAUCCAUCUCUCCCACUGUUUCUCCAGAGGGCUCAUAUUAAUCGUCUUCUGAAAGUCCUUCUUUGUUUAGGUGUGUGCUAUACCUGUGUUGACUCUUAUCCUGAUUUCUAAGUUAUUUAUAUUCCAUGCACAGAUCUCCAGAGGACUGUCGAGGGGAAUCAUAAAAUAAUCUGCCCAAGACUCCUGUUUAACCCUAAAUCAGUUUGGGGCAGCUCAUCUCUGAGUCUAAAAUUGGGUAGCCCCCACAGAAAGAGUGGGGGGAAAAGGAAUGUUUUUUUCUUCCCUUGGAGCUUGCUUCCUGCUGGAGCCUACUUCUGGGUGCCCAGCUUUCCUUCUCCCUUCUCUAUAUGGAUGCUACAUGGAAGGGUGAUUGUGCUCAAACUCAGAAGCUACAGGUGAGACCUCAGUUGCCCAAAAGGAAAUAAAUGUUUUCUUUUUCUUACUAUUGCUGUAUUAUUCUACUCUCCCUUUAUAUUUUCUUUCUGGUCUAUUUACUUCCUGGACUACUUUUACUAUUUUAUUUCUCCAUGUUUUAACUUCCUAUAUAAAUGUAUGUCACACUUUGAAAAGGAAACCCAUCUAAAUGAAUUAGACAAAUAUGUGAUGCCAGGUACACACAAAGGCACCCCCUUGGUUCAUUUAGUUUCUUGGUCAAACAUCAAUUUAGUAAGAAAGAAAGGCCUUACCCAACCCCUGCUUUCAUCUGACAUAGCUGUCUCUCCCAGUUGAUCACUUAACCUGCUGUAUUUUCCUUUGAAGCAUUUAUUGCUACCUGUCAAUUAUAUGUUAAUUUCUUAAUUGAUCAUAUUUUUCUCCUUGUGAAUACCAUGAUAUCAAUGACUCACUGAUAGAGCCCUAUAACCUAGAAUACUGCCUGCUACAUAGUAAACACUGUAAUGUUUCUCAACAAAGAAUACUUAAUAUGUUUUGAUGAUUAAGAAGCUUGAUGUUGGGCUGGGGAUGUGUCUCAAGCAGUAUCGCAC